UGCGAGGGGGGCGAGCGUUGUUCGGAAUUAUUGGGCGUAAAGGGUGCGUAGGCGGUUUGGUAAGUCUUAUGUGAAAUCUACAGGCUCAACUUGUAGUCUGCAUGAGAAACUGCCGGGCUUGAGUAUGGGAGAGGUGAGUGGAAUUCCUGGUGUAGCGGUGAAAUGCGUAGAUAUCAGGAGGAACACCUGUGGCGAAAGCGGCUCACUGGACCAUAACUGACGCUGAUGCACGAAAGCUAGGGGAGCAAACGGG
rnacentral:rRNA from 1 species